rnacentral:rRNA from 1 species
AGCGAACGCUGGCGGCAGGCUUAACACAUGCAAGUCGAGCGGGCACUUCGGUGUCAGCGGCAGACGGGUGAGUAACACGUGGGAACGUACCCUUUGGUUCGGAAUAACGCUGGGAAACUAGCGCUAAUACCGGAUACGCCCUUUUGGGGAAAGGCUUGCUGCCGAAGGAUCGGCCCGCGUCUGAUUAGCUAGUUGGUGGGGUAAUGGCCUACCACGGCGACGAUCAGUAGCUGGUCUGAGAGGAUGAUCAGCCACACUGGGACUGAGACACGGCCCAGACUCCUACGGGAGGCAGCAGUGGGGAAUAUUGGAAAAUGGGCGCAAGCCUGAUCCAGCCAUGCCGCGUGAGUGAUGAAGGCCUUAGGGUUGUAAAGCUCGUUUGUCCGGGACGAUAAUGACGGUACCGGAAGAAUAAGCCCCGGCUAACUUCGUG